CAAUAAUAGAAAAUCACAUGCAUGCUCUUGUUGCUAAAGAAGUGGAUGCUAUUCUAAGAAGAUGUGGCUUUUUGGGUAUGAUGUUUCACUUUUGUAAUUUCCUUUGCAAUGAAGCAGUUGGGACUCCCCUGGCNNNNNNNNNCACUUCUCCAGCUUCUCUUUCCGAGUCUUUGAGGAGUUUCUUCGGACUUAUUUUAGGAAGCGAGAGUUCCCUUCCUGAAUUUGAGCAGAUACAGGUUCCAAAGUUGCGUUCUGAAGCUUCUAUUCAAGUGGCGAAGUCCCUUGCCGAAGCUUAUGAGCUUAUUUACAAAGUAAUACUGGAUCCCAAGAAUGGUUGCUCAGAACCCAAAUCAUUGGCAAGGCAUCCUCCAGAUCAGAUAAGGAC
rnacentral:misc_RNA from 1 species